UAGUCGUUUAUUCACCCGAUAAUAGAUGCACAUUGUAGCAUAAAUUUAAUUAACACAGAAUCAGUUUUGUUUUGAAGCAUAAUACACCACACAACGCAAAAAAGCAAGGAUGUCCGGCACUGUGAUACAACACCCACUAUCGCGCAGAUAUGGUGUUAAGCUUUUUCUAUCUGAUGAUGUUUUAAUGACCAUAACGGUAUAAUAUAUUUAUUGAGGAUGUACUGUAUAUCCCGUUAAACAUUAUAACUAUAACAUCAGCUAGAGAGAAUGUGAUUAGAAGUUAUUUACGACUAGAUGAAAUCACAACGUGGCAACUGGAUACUCUUAAUGCAUCUAACAUACAUUUGUACGAAACUUAACCUUGGAAAUAAUACUAGAGAGGUGAAACUUGUGGCCCGGUUCCAUCUUUUAUUUAAAGACAAUAACACAGAAGAAGACUGCGUCAGGGAGUUAGGAUGGGGCACAAACCGAGACCAUGACGUAGAGUUUGAAUGCAAAACAAGAGUAGGCCGUAGCGCUGCUAUCCGGACAAAAUUUCUGUCAUAGAACACUGCAUGGUGUAUGCCCGUCUUCACUAGAACGGUUGGUGCAGAAAAGUACGUGGUAACCCCAUUUCAGUUCAUUUUAUUUUGUUUCAUAGAAAUUCAUAUUUUGGAAAAUUGAAGAGGAAGAAGAAGAAUAAAAUUAUGGCUUAAGUGAUGAUAAAAAGUAAAUGAUAACUAGUAGCCUGGCAAUAUCUUCAUGUAUGAUUCAUUGGUUGGAAGAUGAGAUGUCUAAGCUUAAUUAGACUCUUAUAAUAAAACAAUUAUAAUGGAUUAAUAAUAACAAAGAAGAACAGAAUACAUAAUCAGCGGAUUAAAGAGCAAAUUAAAGUAGAGUAGUCUAGAAUUACAAUCAUAAUAGUUCCUUUAACACGCGUUAU